rnacentral:rRNA from 1 species
ACUCCUACGGGAGGCAGCAGUGAGGAAUAUUGGUCAAUGGAGGGAACUCUGAACCAGCCAUCCCGCGUGUAGGAAGACGGCCUUAUGGGUUGUAAACUACUUUUAUACAGGAAGAAACGUACCCUCGUGGGAGGUGCCUGACGGUACUGUAGGAAUAAGCACCGGCUAACUCCGUGCCAGCAGCCGCGGUAAUACGGAGGGUGCGAGCGUUAUCCGGAUUUAUUGGGUUUAAAGGGUCCGUAGGCGGGUUAAUAAGUCAGUGGUGAAAUCCCAUCGCUUAACGAUGGAACUGCCAUUGAUACUGUUAGUCUUGAAUGAGGGUGCAGUGGUUGGAAUGUGUAGUGUAGCGGUGAAAUGCAUAGAUAUUACACAGAACACCGAUUGCGAAGGCAGAUCACUAACCCUAAAUUGACGCUGAGGGACGAAAGCGUGGGGAGCGAACAGGAUUAGAUACCCUGGUAGGCGUAGU